AAAGCGCNCGCAGGCGGUCUGUCAAGUNGGANGUGAANNCCCCGGGNUCANCCUGGGAACUGCAUUCGAAACUGGCAGGCUAGAGUCUUGUAGAGGGGGGUAGAAUUCCAGGUGUAGCGGUGAAAUGCGUAGAGAUCUGGAGGAAUACCGGUGGCGAAGGCGGCCCCCUGGACAAAGACUGACGCUCAGGUGCGAAAGCGUGGGGAGCAAACAGGAUUAGAUACCCUGGUAGUCCACGCCGUAAACGAUGUCGAUUUGGAGGUUGUGCCCUUGAGGCGUGGCUUCCGGAGCUAACGCGUUAAAUCGACCGCCUGGGGAGUACGGCCGCAAGGUUAAAACUCAAAUGAAUUGACGGGGGCCCGCACAAGCGGUGGAGCAUGUGGUUUAAUUCGAUGCAACGCGAAGAACCUUACCUGGUCUUGACAUCCACAGAACUUAGCAGAGAUGCUUUGAUGCCUUCGGGAACUGUGAGACAGGUGCUGCAUGGCUGUCGUCAGCUCGUGUUGUGAAAUGUUGGGUUAAGUCCCGCAACGAGCGCAACCCUUAUCCUUUGUUGCCAGCGGUCCGGCCGGGAACUCAAAGGAGACUGCCGGUGAUAAACUGGAGGAAGGUGGGGAUGACGUCAAGUCAUCAUGGCCCUUACGACCAGGGCUACACACGUGCUACAAUGGCAUAUACAAAGAGAAGCGACCUCGCGAGAGCAAGCGGACCUCAUAAAGUAUGUCGUAGUCCGGAUUGGAGUCUGCAACUCGACUCCAUGAAGUCGGAAUCGCUAGUAAUCGUAGAUCAGAAUGCUACGGUGAAUACGUUCCCGGGCCUUGUACACACCGCCCGUCACACCAUGGGAGUGGGUUGCAAAAGAAGUAGGUAGCUUAACCUUCGGGAGGGCGCUUACCACUUUGUGAUUCAUGACUGGGGUGAAGUCGUAACAAGGUAACCGUAGGGGA
rnacentral:rRNA from 1 species